rnacentral:misc_RNA from 1 species
CCGCCGCUCAGCCAGCAGCCGACCUCCUCUCCUAGCCAUUACCCACGUCAGCCCUCUUCCUCCUUGGCGUGCAUGCCCUCUGCUCUCUGCCUUCCAUGGCCGUCGGUCUCCACAGCACAGCAGUCACGGACGCCCCCUGCCACUGCUCCAAAUGGCGAGCUCCACAUCUGCAUGGAGCCGAGCUCUCCCAUCUCCACCAGCCGCUCCCCUCAUCUCUCCUCCCUCCCCAUGCGCGCGAGCAACCCCUCUGCUCGGCUCCUUGCUCCCAUGACCGCUCCUCCUCUGCUCCUCUCUAUCUGCAGCAUCCACCAGCCGGCCCUCAAGGUCAUCUUCCUCCUCCAGCUCGCACCAGAUCCAGCCGCCUCUGGACCUCGCCUCCUCGGGCCCGGCCAUGGUGGCCCUCGGACGUGCUCUCCCGCGUCGAGCUCCUCCAGUGCUGACCUCGUCGGACGCUCAGCUCCUUGGCACUCGGCGUGGCUCCAGCGCCCUCCUCCUGUGGCGCACGAGCACCUCUCCAGGCGCCGCUGCCCCAAGUCCGACCAGCGCCUCUGCCUCGACGCCGGCAGCGCCUCCUCACCGUUAGUCGCAGCAGCGCCGUCGACCUCUGCUGCGAGCUCGUCCCGACGACCACCGUCGUUCUCUGCAGCUCACAUCCACAGCCCUCAUGCCGUCGGACGUCGCGGUCUAUGCAUGUGCUGCAGCAUCAGCCUCAACACCUUCGGGUCACCUGCGCCGAUCCGAUCUGUGCAGCCCCGGCAAGAUGUCGUCAAACACCGGUGAAUCCUCGCUGUCCCGUGUUCCUUGGUUUGAUAAAAUGGCCGAACCAAUAAACUGUGUAAUCAGGGCCGGUCCUGACAUUUCGGGGGCCCUAAGCAAAAAUUUAUAUAGAGGCCCCAUAUAACUAGAUAUAUGUAUAUAUCAU